CCCUUAGAUGUUCUGGGCGGCCCGCGCACUACAAUGGCGUGUGCAGCGAGUGCCGAAGUAGAGUUUUCCGAGGUAUUCUUGCAAUGCUCGUUUUGAUGGGGAUAGACCCUUGCAACUGUUGGUUUUGAACGAGGAAUUCCUUGUAAGCAUGGUUUAUCAUCCGACGCUGAAUGCGUCCCUGCCCUUUGUACACGCCGCCCGUCGCUCCUACCGAUGAAUCGUCCGGUGAAGUUCACAGAGUGGCGGUUCGUGGAGUUGCUCGCGAAGUGAAAUGGACCUCACGAUUUAGAGGAAGGAGAAGUCGUAACA
rnacentral:rRNA from 1 species